rnacentral:rRNA from 1 species
CUGACGCUGAAGCUCGAAGGCGCGGGUAUCGAACAGGAUUAGAUACCCUGGUAGUCCGCGCGGUAAACGAUGGAUGCUCGCUGUUGGGCUUUAUGCUCAGCGGCCAAGCGAAAGCGUUAAGCAUCCCACCUGGGGAGUACGCCGGCAACGGUGAAACUCAAAGGAAUUGACGGGGGCCCGCACAAGCGGAGGAACAUGUGGUUUAAUUCGAUGAUACGCGAGGAACCUUACCCGGGCUUGAACUGCAGGAGAACGAUUCAGAGAUGAUGAGGUCCUUCGGGACUCCUGUGGAGGUGCUGCAUGGUUGUCGUCAGCUCGUGCCGUGAGGUGUCGGCUUAAGUGCCAUAACGAGCGCAACCCCUGUCUUAAGUUGCCAUCGGGUAAUGCCGGGGACUCUUGAGAUACUGCCACCGCAAGGUGUGAGGAAGGUGGGGAUGACGUCAAAUCAGCACGGCCCUUACGUCCGGGGCUACACACGUGUUACAAUGGCGCGUACAGAGUGCCGGCCGUGCGCAAGUACGGUCCAAUCACUAAAACGCGUCUCAGUUCGGACUGGGGUCUGCAACCCGACCCCACGAAGCUGGAUUCGCUAGUAAUCGCG